CAGCUCCCAGUCAGCCAGUCCCCAUCGCCGGAUUCCUCUCCCUUUUCCCUCAUCUGCCGCCGCCACUGGCGACCUCGCCGCGGCCGCCGCGACCACCCACGCCCUCCCCAACGCCCACCCCUUCUCUCCUCCCCUUACCUUCUCCUUACCAUCAGCGAGCUCCUCCCCUCUCCCUCGCACCAGAUCGAGCAGCAGGCCGAAUCCGAAGCAGCCUCAGAUCCGGCAUACCCAAAGCGAUGGUUUCCGUUGAGAACGCCAUGGACAAGUUGCUCUGGCCCUGUUGCUGCAGCCAUGGACAAGAUGUGUGCGGAUCGGAUGAAGAAGAGAAGAGGAAGGAUCUUGAGGAAGAGUGAAGAACAAGGUCUUCCAGGAGAAAUUUGGCGCCUCAAAUCUUGAAGAUUAGUUCUGAUUAGAUUCAAUUGACCAGGCAUACGUCGGCCUGCCCCUUGUGCCUCAUCUCCAUCCCCAUCUUCGGCACUCCUACCACUGCUCAAGUCCGCGUCCGUGAUGCAGCUGGCGAAGUAUUAUUUUUUCUGUGUUUUCUCCAUGUGGAUUUAACCUUACAUCUCCAGCGACAAACCUUUUGAUGGAGCCGCAUAAUGCAGAGUUGUGCCUGACUGACUAGGCCAGUUCCCAACAAAUUCAAGCAGCUAAGCUUGCAGGCAUGUGUACUAUAAAGGGAACCAAGUUCUGUAUAUAUUGUAUUUGCAGAAAGCGUUUUUGGCAUGUACGGUUCUAACAAAUUUGAGAUCUUCUUUCUGAUUCUCGAAGAAAUAAAGUUACUAUCCGUUAGUACAAUGAGGAAAAAAAUGAUAUGGUGUUGAAGCUAUGAUGAUGGAAGCUCUAGAGAAAGUUGAAGAUGUUUCUAAGGAGUGACAAGACAGAGUAUAGCUCUCCUUUGGCCAGUUUGAGAAGAUAGACAAAAAGAGCAAGGCAUUAACCACGAUUCUUCUUGUUGUGAGAGAAAGAAAGUCAUGGACUCCAUGUAGCAAUUAGAAAGGACCCUGGUGCUGGAGAGCAGCAAGUAAACUCACCAAUCGUGCUCUUUUCGUUUGGAUUGCUAAGACAAAUUCAUCCAGGAGUUUGAGGCUAUCAUUGAUGAGGUAUCCUGGAGAGUUGCAAGCUGCUUGUCUUGUUCCGAAUCAUGUUCUCCGAGGCUAUAUCGGCGACGGCGGCGUGGAGGGCCUGGUGGUCUCGUAGGUGGCACCUCCGAUCAGAUCUGUUCUGACCAGUGCAGCCGGCGGUGGUGGUCAUCUCUUCCGUCAGAGGUGGUCGGCCUGAGGCUGGGUGUUCGGAUCUCGGGAUCCGUCAUCUGGCACCAGUUGCGAGUCGGGGAGACGUAGUUGCCGGUGAAA